AUUGAACGCUGGCGGCAUGCCUUACACAUGCAAGUCGAACGGUAACGGGCCUUCGGGUGCCGACGAGUGGCGAACGGGUGAGUAAUGCAUCGGAACGUACCUUUCAGUGGGGGAUAACGUAGCGAAAGUUACGCUAAUACCGCAUAUUCUGUGAGCAGGAAAGCAGGGGAUCGCAAGACCUUGCGCUGAUUGAGCGGCCGAUGUCAGAUUAGCUAGUUGGUGAGGUAAAGGCUCACCAAGGCGACGAUCUGUAGCGGGUCUGAGAGGAUGAUCCGCCACACUGGAACUGAGACACGGUCCAGACUCCUACGGGAGGCAGCAGUGGGGAAUUUUGGACAAUGGGGCGAACCCUGAUCCAGCCAUGCCGCGUGAGUGAAGAAGGCCUCGG
rnacentral:rRNA from 1 species